GAUGAACGCUGGCGGCGUGCUUAAUACAUGCAAGUCGAGCGAAAAGAUGAGGCGCUUGCUCCUCUGACGUUUGCCGAGGACGGGUGAGAAACACGUGGAUCACCUACCUAUAAGUCUGGGAUCAUUUCGAGACACCGGAGAUAAUACCGGAUAAUCUCUUGAACCGCAUGGUUCAAUAGUGAAAGACGGUUUUGCUGUAUCUUCUCGCUGGAUCUGCGCCGCAUUAGCUAGUUGGUAAGGUCAAGGCUUACCAAGGCAACGAUGCGUAGCCGAGCUGAGAGGGGGGUAGGCCACACGAGAACGGGGACACGGACCAUGCUCCUACGGGAGGCAGCAGAAUGGAAUCGUCCGCAGUGGUCGAAAGCCUGACGGAGCAACGCCGCGUGAGAUAUGAAGGUCUUCGGUUCGUAAAACUCUGUUAUGAGUUAUGAACAAAUGUGUAAGUAACUAUGCACUUCGUGACGGUACCUAAUCAGAAAGCCACGGCUAACUACGUG
rnacentral:rRNA from 1 species